GGGUUGUGAGGUUAAGCGACUAAGCGUACACGGUGGAUGCCCUGGCAGUCAGAGGCGAUGAAGGACGUGCUAAUCUGCGAUAAGCGUCGGUAAGGUGAUAUGAACCGUUAUAACCGGCGAUUUCCGAAUGGGGAAACCCAGUGUGAUUCGUCACACUAUCAUUAACUGAAUCCAUAGGUUAAUGAGGCGAACCGGGGGAACUGAAACAUCUAAGUACCCCGAGGAAAAGAAAUCAACCGAGAUUCCCCCAGUAGCGGCGAGCGAACGGGGAGGAGCCCAGAGCCUGAAUCAGUGUGUGUGUUAGUGGAAGCGUCUGGAAAGGCGCGCGAUACAGGGUGACAGCCCCGUACACAAAAAUGCACAUGCUGUGAGCUCGAUGAGUAGGGCGGGACACGUGGUAUCCUGUCUGAAUACGGGGGGACCAUCCUCCAAGGCUAAAUACUCCUGACUGACCGAUAGUGAACCAGUACCGUGAGGGAAAGGCGAAAAGAACCCCGGCGAGGGGAGUGAAAAAGAACCUGAAACCGUGUACGUACAAGCAGUGGGAGCACAGAGCAAUCUGUGUGACUGCGUACCUUUUGUAUAAUGGGUCAGCGACUUAUAUUCUGUAGCAAGGUUAACCGAAUAGGGGAGCCGAAGGGAAACCGAGUCUUAACCGGGCGUUAAGUUGCAGGGUAUAGACCCGAAACCCGGUGAUCUAGCCAUGGGCAGGUUGAAGGUUGGGUAACACUAACUGGAGGACCGAACCGACUAAUGUUGAAAAAUUAGCGGAUGACUUGUGGCUGGGGGUGAAAGGCCAAUCAAACCGGGAGAUAGCUGGUUCUCCCCGAAAGCUAUUUAGGUAGCGCCUCGUGAAUUCAUCUCCGGGGGUAGAGCACUGUUUCGGCAAGGGGGUCAUCCCGACUUACCAACCCGAUGCAAACUGCGAAUACCGGAGAAUGUUAUCACGGGAGACACACGGCGGGUGCUAACGUCCGUCGUGAAGAGGGAAACAACCCAGACCGCCAGCUAAGGUCCCAAAGUCAUGGUUAAGUGGGAAACGAUGUGGGAAGGCCCAGACAGCCAGGAUGUUGGCUUAGAAGCAGCCAUCAUUUAAAGAAAGCGUAAUAGCUCACUGGUCGAGUCGGCCUGCGCGGAAGAUGUAACGGGGCUAAACCAUGCACCGAAGCUGCGGCAGCGACACUGUGUGUUGUUGGGUAGGGGAGCGUUCUGUAAGCCUGUGAAGGUGUACUGUGAGGUAUGCUGGAGGUAUCAGAAGUGCGAAUGCUGACAUAAGUAACGAUAAAGCGGGUGAAAAGCCCGCUCGCCGGAAGACCAAGGGUUCCUGUCCAACGUUAAUCGGGGCAGGGUGAGUCGACCCCUAAGGCGAGGCCGAAAGGCGUAGUCGAUGGGAAACAGGUUAAUAUUCCUGUACUUGGUGUUACUGCGAAGGGGGGACGGAGAAGGCUAUGUUGGCCGGGCGACGGUUGUCCCGGUUUAAGCGUGUAGGCUGGUUUUCCAGGCAAAUCCGGAAAAUCAAGGCUGAGGCGUGAUGACGAGGCACUACGGUGCUGAAGCAACAAAUGCCCUGCUUCCAGGAAAAGCCUCUAAGCAUCAGGUAACAUCAAAUCGUACCCCAAACCGACACAGGUGGUCAGGUAGAGAAUACCAAGGCGCUUGAGAGAACUCGGGUGAAGGAACUAGGCAAAAUGGUGCCGUAACUUCGGGAGAAGGCACGCUGAUAUGUAGGUGAAGUCCCUCGCGGAUGGAGCUGAAAUCAGUCGAAGAUACCAGCUGGCUGCAACUGUUUAUUAAAAACACAGCACUGUGCAAACACGAAAGUGGACGUAUACGGUGUGACGCCUGCCCGGUGCCGGAAGGUUAAUUGAUGGGGUCAGCGCAAGCGAAGCUCUUGAUCGAAGCCCCGGUAAACGGCGGCCGUAACUAUAACGGUCCUAAGGUAGCGAAAUUCCUUGUCGGGUAAGUUCCGACCUGCACGAAUGGCGUAAUGAUGGCCAGGCUGUCUCCACCCGAGACUCAGUGAAAUUGAACUCGCUGUGAAGAUGCAGUGUACCCGCGGCAAGACGGAAAGACCCCGUGAACCUUUACUAUAGCUUGACACUGAACAUUGAGCCUUGAUGUGUAGGAUAGGUGGGAGGCUUUGAAGUGUGGACGCCAGUCUGCAUGGAGCCGACCUUGAAAUACCACCCUUUAAUGUUUGAUGUUCUAACGUGGACCCGUGAUCCGGGUUGCGGACAGUGUCUGGUGGGUAGUUUGACUGGGGCGGUCUCCUCCUAAAGAGUAACGGAGGAGCACGAAGGUUGGCUAAUCCUGGUCGGACAUCAGGAGGUUAGUGCAAUGGCAUAAGCCAGCUUGACUGCGAGCGUGACGGCGCGAGCAGGUGCGAAAGCAGGUCAUAGUGAUCCGGUGGUUCUGAAUGGAAGGGCCAUCGCUCAACGGAUAAAAGGUACUCCGGGGAUAACAGGCUGAUACCGCCCAAGAGUUCAUAUCGACGGCGGUGUUUGGCACCUCGAUGUCGGCUCAUCACAUCCUGGGGCUGAAGUAGGUCCCAAGGGUAUGGCUGUUCGCCAUUUAAAGUGGUACGCGAGCUGGGUUUAGAACGUCGUGAGACAGUUCGGUCCCUAUCUGCCGUGGGCGCUGGAGAACUGAGGGGGGCUGCUCCUAGUACGAGAGGACCGGAGUGGACGCAUCACUGGUGUUCGGGUUGUCAUGCCAAUGGCACUGCCCGGUAGCUAAAUGCGGAAGAGAUAAGUGCUGAAAGCAUCUAAGCACGAAACUUGCCCCGAGAUGAGUUCUCCCUGACCCUUUAAGGGUCCUGAAGGAACGUUGAAGACGACGACGUUGAUAGGCCGGGUGUGUAAGCGCAGCGAUGCGUUGAGCUAACCGGUACUAAUGAACCGUGAGGCUUAACCUUACAACGCCGAAGGUGUUU
rnacentral:rRNA from 1 species